AAACUUGUAAAAGAAAAUCAUCGUACAGUUAAAAUUUCUACGAUAAUUCAUUCGAAGUUUUGCAAUUAAUGUUAUACAGAUAUUCUAACCAAAUCACAAAACCAUAAUACUGUAUACCUAUAUAUCUCGUCUAAAAGCUGCAUAUCUAGUAGUGAAAUAUAUAGGUAUACUAUACAGUAUUAUGGUUUUGUGAUUUGGUUGGAAUAUCUGUAUAACAUUUGCAAAACUUUAAAUGAAUUAUCGUGGAAUUUUUAACUGUACGAUGAUUUUCUUUUACGAGUUUUCUUCUU